UUUGGGGUAUAUAAACUAAUAACGUUCAGAUUCAUUGUUUAACAUGAGAGCAGGUGAGCCAGUCUUCGUGUUUGUCUAGUGAGGCGCUGCGCGCAUUUCCCGCGGAAAGAACGAAGCGGAGUGUUGGAGAACGGUGGAGAACUGCGAAGUGAUCUGUGCUAGGGAUUACGCUUGCCAACACCGCAGACAAGCCAGGGGCGCCGAUAUGGGUUCCAGGCUAUGUGAUGGACGACCGGCGCACCUCAUCCUCCUCCUGCUCCUCGUCCUCCAGGCCAUGCUGCCGCUCUGCUCUGGUGAACGCACCUGCCCUCACAGCUGCCGUUGUGAGGGGAAGAUAGUCCACUGCGAGUCAGCUGGCUUCUUGGACGUCCCUGAGAACAUCUCAGUGGGCUGCCAGGGCCUCUCUCUUCGCUACAACGACCUGCACACGCUGCUCCCCUACCAGUUUGCCCAUCUCAACCAGCUCCUCUGGCUCUACAUGGACCACAACCAGAUCUCUUCUCUAGACAGUCGGGUCUUCCAGGGGGUUCGCAGGCUUAAAGAGCUGAUCCUCAGCUCCAACAAGAUCUCUCAGCUCCACAACGCCACCUUCCACGGGGUGCCCAACCUCCGCAGCCUGGACCUGUCCUACAACAAGCUGCAGAUGCUGCAGCCGGGGCAGUUCCACGGCCUGAAGAAGCUGCAGAACCUCCACUUGCGCUCCAACGGCCUCACCAUAGUCCCCAUCCGGGCCUUCCUGGAAUGCCGCAGCCUGGAGUUUCUGGACCUGGGCUACAACCGACUCCGGGCCCUCACCAGAACCACCUUCCUGGGGUUACAGAGGCUCAUGGAGCUGCACCUGGAGCACAACCAGUUCUCCCGGAUCAACUUCUUUCUGUUUCCACGUCUUGCUAACUUGCGGGCGCUCUACCUGCAGUGGAACCGCAUCCGAGCAGUCAACCAGGGCCUUCCCUGGACUUGGCACACACUGCAGAAACUGGAUCUGUCUGGCAAUGAGAUCCAGACCCUGGACCCUGCCGUGUUCCACUGCCUGCCUAACCUCCAGACCCUCAACCUGGAGUCCAACAAGCUGUCCAACGUGUCCCAGGAGGCAGUGUCUGCAUGGAUCUCCCUGAACUCUAUCAACCUUGCAGGUAACGUGUGGGACUGUGGGACAGGCAUCUGCCCCCUGGUGGCCUGGCUGAGGAACUUUCGUGGCACUAAAGACACAACCAUGAUAUGCAGCAGCCCAAAGCAGCUCCAGGGAGAGAAGAUCAUGGAGGCUACGAGGAACAAUGGAAUUUGUGAGGAAACUGAUUACUUUCAGACAGAAACCCCUUCACCAACCCCGGAUUUCAUUGAAACGACACCUGACCCAACCCCUGCCCCCACCAGCCCACUUCCACCCCUGCUUCCACCUACCACCCUGGCCCCCCUACCCCCACCUCGGCCUCAGGCCCCCCCCCGUCCUACUUUUUCCAGCCGGGUAAGGAUUGACCCCAGAGACUCCCCUCCCCGGGCUCCGCCCUCCCUCCGCAGCCUGGUGGUGACUCAGCCCCCAGAGCUGGAGCACAUGUCCUUCCACAAGGUGGUGGUGGGCAGCGUGGCACUCUUCUUCACCAUGUCACUUGUCCUGACCGUCAUCUACGUGUUAUGGAGGCGCUACCCGAAUGCGGCACGACUCCUGCAGCAGCGCUCCGUGGUGGGCCGCAAGCGGCGGAAAAAGAGCCCAGAGCCUGAGCAGAACCUGAGCUCCCAGCUGCAGGAGUAUUACAUGAGCUACAAUCCAGCCGCCACCCCGGAUGGCUUGGAGGUGCUGGGCAACGGGACCGGCUCCUGCACCUGCACCAUCUCCGGCUCCAGGGAAUGCGAGGUAUGACCCAUCGCAUCAGCCUUUAAAAACAAAACUCAAAAAGCAAAAACACAAAGGCUCAAGAGAGAGAGAGUGAAUACACAUGUCCCCGUCCACUACCUGGAGCUUGGCUUGGAGACGUACCCACCAUUCACUAGGAGACAUGUACGUUUU